CCACCCUGAACACAAAUUGGCAGGCAGGAAUGCGCCCGUAGGAAGUGGAACUCAAUGCAGCAUUGUUUCUGCGUGAGAACUUACUCUGCCCUACUCUGAGCUGGCCUUAACAAAGAAGGAUCAGGGCAGGUGUUUGGGGUUUGUUUUUUUCCCCUUCUCUUAGGUAGCCAAAUCCCGGGGUUCAAGUUAACUUCCAGGACCCUGAGAAUCAGGUCCAGGAGGAAAUCCGAGUGUUGAGAGGCAAAUGAUUCCUAAAGACACAAAGUGAUGAUGGGCGUUUCCAGAAAUCUGUGCAAUGACAGUCCCCGAAGUCGUUGCAAAGACAGACGACUAAGAAUGAUCAGAAACCACUCAGCAAACACACGGCCUUGUAACAUAAUAAGGGGAUGACCACCGGGCAACUGAACUGACUCUCAGACACGCGACCCAUAUCCCUGGUUUCUUCAUGAGUGAAAAUAACAGAACAGUUCAAGUCCAUCCUCUGAAGGCUGCCUGUUUCUAAUGAAGCCCCAGGCCCACUGCAAACUUCUCACGUCUCUUGACAACUCAUGGAGGUAUCGCCAUCAAGGCAGCCAGGGAAACGUCUAACUGAAUUGCCUAGAUAGUUUUGUUUCAGGUCAGAGAGUGAAGGUCCCAAGGGCCCCGUUUGUGUAGGACAGUGGGGUUUCUUCUAGAACACAAAGGUAGCUGCGGUGGUUGGUAACCUGAGGCUCAUCUUUCGUCUAAUUGAUGGAGAGCCUUAUCCUCUAUUACAUCUAUUAAAUCAACUGGUCGGGGCGGGGGGGCGUUCUCAGCUCAGAGCAAUCUGAAAAGACCCUUUCGCUUUCCCAUCAAAACCAUCUCCACCACUCUUCUUCUAGUAUCCAAAUAUCUCUUUUCCUUGCUUCACAGAGCUCACAGUUUAAGCAGAGUAAGCGUGUCUGUUUUCAAUUCUUAACUUUUCACACACAUGGCAAAUGAGAGGAACUUUUGAACACUGCAAUCAUCUGGCUGAUGAGCAAGCUGUUUUCCAUUUCUGGCAACAAAUACUUUUGGCUUAUCU
rnacentral:lncRNA from 1 species